rnacentral:rRNA from 1 species
GACGCUGGCGGCGUGCCUAACACAUGCAAGUCGAACGGUAACAGGGACUUCGGUCUGCUGACGAGUGGCGCACGGGUGAGUAACGCGUGGAUAUCUGCCUAUUAGUGGGGGACAACUACGGGAAACCGUAGCUAAUACCGCAUAAUCUCUACGGAGGAAAGCAGGGGACCUUUCGGGGCCUUGCGCUGAUAGAUGAGUCCGCGUCAGAUUAGCUAGUUGGUAAGGUAAUGGCUUACCAAGGCGAUGAUCUGUAACUGGUUUGAGAGGAUGAUCAGUCACACUGGAACUGAGACACGGUCCAGACUCCUACGGGAGGCAGCAGUGGGGAAUAUUGCACAAUGGGCGAAAGCCUGAUGCAGCGACGCCGCGUGCGGGAAGAAGGCCUUCGGGUUGUAAACCGCUUUCAAUUGGGAAGAAGAGAUGAGUACUAAUAUUGCUCUGAUUUGACGGUACCUUUAGAAGAAGCACCGGCUAAUUUCGUGCCAGCAGCCGCGGUAAUACGAAAGGUGCAAGCGUUGUUCGGAUUUACUGGGCGUAAAGAGAUCGUAGGUGGUUUGUUAAGUCGGAUGUGAAAUCCCGGGGCUCAACCCCGGAACUGCAUUCGAUACUGGCAGGCUAGAGUUUGGGAGGGGUAAGCGGAAUUCCGUGUGUAGCAGUGAAAUGCGUAGAUAUACGGAGGAACACCUGAGGCGAAGGCGGCUUACUGGACCAAUACUGACACUGAGGAUCGAAAGCGUGGGUAGCAAACAGGAUUAGAUACCCUGGUAGUCCACGCCCUAAACGAUGUCAACUAGCCGUAGCGGGUAUCGACCCCUGCUGUGGCGAAGCUAACGCGAUAAGUUGACCGCCUGGGGAGUACGGUCGCAAGA